rnacentral:rRNA from 1 species
AUGGAGGAGAGACUGGUCAUCUUGCCAAGGCCCUCCGGGAUGACACCUUCCAGUUGGUUUGCUGCGAAAUCGAUUGCUUCCAGUGCUGAGAGGUUGGCAAUCGACGGCGGGAUUAUCCCAGUGAACCUGUUCCUAUACAUUCUCAUGGUCUUCAGAUUUGACAAGCCUCCAAGCCAGGCAGGGAUUUCUCCUGUGAGCAAAUUUCGGUCAAGAUCGAUGCUCUCAAGACUUGUGCAGUUCUUCAGGUCAGAGUUUACAUCACUGUCAAGUGAAUUGCCGGAUAAGUUGAGAUGUUGUAGCCGAAAUAAACGACCGAUUGAUGAAGGUAUUUCACCAUGGAAAUUGUUCUGGCUGAGGUCUAGUAUUUUCAGAAACGUGAGGUUUCCAAUUGACGGGGUGAUUGUGCCGGCGAGGCCCUUCGAAGUGAGGUUAAGCACCGUAACUCUGUGCUUAUGCUCGAGGCUGCAACUGACACCUGGCCACGAGCAGAAAUCAGUAGUUGUGUUCCACGCAGCUAGGGCACCUUGCUGGUUGCUUAGACCUGCCCUGAGUGCCAGCAAGGUAUCCACAUCAGUCAUGUUGCUGAAUGUUCUCGCUGAUGCUGAUUGGAGUACAUAUGGCAACAGAAGCAGCAGCAGAACAGGGAACAUCGUUGACACUGGGAAUCAGGAAAGAAAUGAUCCGCCCGCUUCUGUAUUUCGAUGGCAAUGGUUAUGCGGAUUGCGGAACAUGUGUUUUCCGUAA